GAGAUGUGGGUAGUCCGCACGAGCGCACCUCACUUUUAGUUGCCAUCAUUAAGUUGGGCACUCUGAAAGAACUGCCAGUGAUAAGCCGGAGGAAGGUGGGGAUGACGUCAAGUCCUCAUGGCCCUUACGUGUUGGGCUACACACGUGCUACAAUGGCAUCUACAACAGGAAGCAAAACGGCAACGUUAAGCAAAUCCCGAAAAGAUGCCUCAGUUCGGAUUGCACUCUGCAACUCGAGUGCAUGAAGCUGGAAUUACUAGUAAUCGUGGAUCAGCGUGCCACGGUGAAUACGUUCCCGGGUCUUGCACACACCGCCCGUCACACCAUGGGAGUUGGUUCUACCUUAAGGCAAGGUUUUAUACCCUUGACCACGGUAUAGUCAGCGACUGGGGUGAAGUCGUAACAAGGUAGCCGUAGGGGAACCUGCGGCUGGAUUACCUCCUUUCU
rnacentral:rRNA from 1 species